rnacentral:misc_RNA from 1 species
AUAUCCCAAAUUUUUACAAUGACAAUGGCGCCCCGUAUGUUUAUUUUAGUAUGUAAGAGCGUGUUCUUUUUAUAUCCACGUUUCUGCCGAAAAUAUAAAUGACAAAACGGAUUGGAAAUUGGCGUUGCAGAAAAUUGACGAUCUGUAGAAAAUCGUGCGUGCACAGGACGAGCGAAUCUCAAUGUUGGAAAAACGACCAACAUGGUCCCAAAUUCAGACUGUGGCCGAAUUGCAAAAUACUGUAAAGAAACAGGGCUAUCAGAUCGCUCAGCUAGAGGCAAGGAUUCAAGAGUUUAAGACUGUUGUAAAGGCUGAAGAUGAUAACCCAGUUAAAAUCUUAGGAGAUGGACCGUUAUCUGGGACAAAUGAAACAUCUGUUAUGUCAGAUAAGACUUAUAGAAGAAGAGGAGGAUUGCUUCGUAUCCAGCCAGCAACGGUACCGGUUGACACUGUCGCCUUUUACGCGUAUUUCUCAUCCAGUUUUCCUGCUUCAAUUGCACAUCGUAUUCUUACAUUUGACACGGUUAUAACAAACGUUGGAAACGCCUAUCAUCCCCAUUCUGGGACAUUCAUAGCACCAAGGUCCGGUCUCUAUGUGUUUACCUGGACUAUUCGACUGAGAUAUAACUUUUUUCACACGACUGAAUUAGUUGUGAAUAACAAUGCUGUUAACUGAAUAUACUUCUAUCCCAACAACAAUGUAGACGGUAGUGUCAGUGGUACCUCUGUUGUGCAUGUUGAUCAGGGCGACGAUGUCCUGAUUAGAACGAGCUCUACUCAUCACAGUGGUGACAUUAUGAGCGAUGGGAAUGGUCUAUCAUCAUUUGCGGGUUAGAUUUAAAUGUAAAUAUUAGCAAAUAAAGAGGUAACUUUAACGUC